UUGGACCUACGGGGGGCAGCAGUGAGGAAUAUUGGUCAAUGGGCGGGAGCCUGAACCAGCCAAGUCGCGUGAAGGAAGAAGGUACUUAGUAUUGUAAACCUCUUUUGUCGGGGAACAAAGGCGGAGACGCGUCUCCGGAUGAGUGUACCCGAAGAAAAAGCAUCGGCUAACUCCGUGCCAGCAGCCGCGGUAAUACGGAGGAUGCGAGCGUUAUCCGGAUUUAUUGGGUUUAAAGGGUGCGCAGGCGGGAGAUCAAGUCAGCGGUCAAAUGCCGGGGCUCAAACCAGGCCGGCCGUUGAAACUGG
rnacentral:rRNA from 1 species